AGUAAUACAUCGGAACGUGUCUUCUAGUGGGGGAUAACUGCCCGAAAGGGCAGCUAAUACCGCAUGAGACCUGAGGGUGAAAGCGGGGGAUCGCAAGACCUCGCGCUGGAAGAGCGGCCGAUGUCCGAUUAGCUAGUUGGUGAGGUAAAGGCUCACCAAGGCGACGAUCGGUAGCUGGUCUGAGAGGGCGACCAGCCACACUGGGACUGAGACACGGCCCAG
rnacentral:rRNA from 1 species